AUGAAUUCAUAUCUUCAAGAAUUUAGAUUGGCUGUGGUCAUGGGAAUAUUCUUAUCAGAUCAGAUCCGGCCCUGCCACAGUGAUUUUUUGAAUGACUUCCGCUCUGUAUUCCACUAUUUCGCAGCAUCAAAGCAUUUUGGAGAUUUCAUGUGGAUUAUUUUUCUAUCGGUCAGCAACUGCAAAAUCCUCUUCUGUUACUUGGGCAAUACAGUGAUGAGGAAUUGUUUGAAGAAUCAAAUGGAAGGCUGAACCAUGCCGAUGCAGAAAACUCCUCUUCGGAUCAUGGUGGUCAGGUAAUUUAGCAAAUGCUAUUUGGGCUUUUUUCGUCAUCACAGUGUAAAUAUUUUGCUUUAUUGACCAUUGACAUUUACGAAGUCCUUUCUUGAGUGGAAGUGGAUUCCACCUUUAUAAGUACCUUUUAAGUUAGUACUUAUAUCAGUGACUUACCAUUACCUAUUAGGUGAAUUCGAAUUUCUCAUUGCAGUUUCUGGUUGGGGCA